GAAAUGCGAUAAGUAAUGUGAAUUGCAGAAUUCAGUGAAUCAUCGAAUCUUUGAACGCACCUUGUGCUCCUUGGUAUUCCUUGGAGCAUGCCUGUUUGAGUAUCAUGAAAUCUUCAAAGUAAAUCUUUUGUUAACUCAAUUGGUUUCUACUUUGGUAUUGGAGGUCUUUGCAGCUUCACACCUGCUCCUCUUUGUUCAUUAGCUGGAUCUCAGUGUUAUGCUUGGUUCCACUCGGCGUGAUAAGUUAUCUAUCGCUGAGGACACUGUAAAAGGUGGCCAAGGUAAAUGCAGAUGAACCGCUUCUAAUAGUCCACUGACUUGGACAAUACUUUUAUGAUCUGAUCUCAAAUCAGGUAGGACUACCCGCUGAACUUAAGC
rnacentral:misc_RNA from 1 species